CCAAUCAGGUCACCGAGACAAAGUACGAGAACCGACCAAUCAGGUCACCGAAACGAAGUACGAGAACUGACCAAUCAGGUCACCGGUAUCACAUAAGGAUAAACUACUCUACUCCUACACAUGAUACUAAGCAUAGAAACAUAUGAGUAGAGUAUGAGAGAAACAACGGGGGUGCAAGCUCAAUAUAUAAUACGAAAAUAGCAAUAGAAGAACAGGGAUAGAAGAAAUAUCACCGAGCGUGCACCACUGUACCGACUUCGGAUCGAAGUACCCACCUGUCACUGUCGCGUCGGAACACUGGGUACGCACAAGUCGACCGGACCUACGAAGAUCCCACGGGUCAGUAACCAACCCACUCACCUGAAGUACACUGUCUCACAAACCCCACACAGAACCCCGUAUCGGUUUCCCAAAAUCGAUCAUCGUAACUCACCGAAAGUCCCGAAAACCACACCGGGACGCCGUCGGGACCCACUAAGUGUCCCGAACUCACCGACUCGUGCCACGAGUCACCUGCUGCCCCAAAACACUCCAAUUUGGAUGUUUUGGUAGUAAACACAAGAUAACACCCCUACACAAUUAUCGCCGGAUAAUUGUGCGAAUUCGGGUUCCCGGAAGUGUCUAUUUCGACACUGGAACCCACCGUCGCUCACCCAUCAUCACCGAACCCACAAUGUGAUGAUGGUGACCUGCCAACAAGGCUCAGCGACUACACAAUAGCUCACAAAGCAUCGUCGGAAUAAUUCCGAACCGAACCCGCGUUCCGUCGGCGGAUUUCGCCGAAAAACGCACCGGAAAUGCAUUUCCGAUCUUCG
rnacentral:lncRNA from 1 species